rnacentral:misc_RNA from 1 species
GAGUUAGAAUAAUUGACAAUUGACACUCAUAACAUUACAUAAUUUUUGAAUGAAAAAGAAGCGUUUUUCUCACUUUGUUCUCAUAUUUCAUUUUGUCGGUGCUUCCUUGAUAGGAAUGAAAAAAAUGAAAGAGGCACAAAGAUAAGAGACACUUAACUUAUUUGUUUUGAAACAAAUGGAUGGUGUAAAGUUGUGUGACUAAUAGCAAUCACUGUGUGAAGUGGUAGCAUGAAUAAUGAAACUUGAAACAUUUCAUAUUUGUUAUGUUCUAUUGUAGAUAUGUCGAAGUGUAAAUAUGAAGGCAAAUAUGAAUAUGAAAGAUUGUUGUCUGUGCUUAACUAAAGUCGACUUUUAAUAAAUAUGAUUUAAUUAUG